GACGAACGCUGGCGGCGUGCUUAACACAUGCAAGUCGAACGGAAAGGCCCUGCUUUUGUGGGGUGCUCGAGUGGCGAACGGGUGAGUAACACGUGAGUAACCUGCCCUUGACUUUGGGAUAACUUCAGGAAACUGGGGCUAAUACCGGAUAGGAGCUCCUGCUGCAUGGUGGGGGUUGGAAAGUUUCGGCGGUUGGGGAUGGACUCGCGGCUUAUCAGCUUGUUGGUGGGGUAGUGGCUUACCAAGGCUUUGACGGGUAGCCGGCCUGAGCGGGUGACCGGCCACAUUGGGACUGAGAUACGGCCCAGACUCCUACGGGAGGCAGCAGUGGGGAAUAUUGCACAAUGGGCGGAAGCCUGAUGCAGCAACGCCGCGUGCGGGAUGACGGCCUUCGGGUUGUAAACCGCUUUCGCCUGUGACGAAGCGUGAGUGACGGUAAUGGGUAAAGAAGCACCGGCUAACUAGGUG
rnacentral:rRNA from 1 species